UGGGGAUGACGUCAAGUCAUCAUGGCCCUUAUGUCCAGGGCUACACACGUGCUACAAUGGUCGGUACAAAGGGUUGCGAUCCCGCGAGGGUGAGCCAAUCCCAAAAAGCCGGCCCCAGUACAGAUAGGAGUCUGCAACUCGACUCCUUGAAGGCGGAAUCGCUAGUAAUCGCUGAUCAGCUGGCAGCGGUGAAUACGUUCCCGGGCCUU
rnacentral:rRNA from 1 species